rnacentral:rRNA from 1 species
UACGUAGGGUGCAAGCGUUAAUCGGAAUUACUGGGCGUAAAGCGUGCGCAGGCGGCUAUGUAAGUCAGUUGUGAAAUCCCCGGGCUCAACCUGGGAACUGCAUCUGUGACUGCAUCGCUGGAGUGCGGCAGAGGGGGAUGGAAUUCCGCGUGUAGCAGUGAAAUGCGUAGAUAUGCGGAGGAACACCGAUGGCGAAGGCAAUCCCCCGGGCCGGCACUGACGCUCAUGCACGAAAGCGUGGGGAGCAAACAGG